rnacentral:lncRNA from 1 species
CUAUCUACAGAAGCUUUUGCUUCUCCUUGUUUAACAUCUCGGAAAGGACCGCCUCGUGUGUCACUAUAACUUUCGAACGUUUUGCUCUCAUCCACACAUGUAUCGAAAGGUCUUCUCUCAGAAUCACAUUCAGCAAGUUUCGAGCUACAGGAAGAACUUUUCCUAUCUACAGAAGCUUUUGCUUCUUCUUGUUUAACAGUUCGAAGAGGAAUGCCUCGUGUGCCACUGCUGCUUACACAUGAGGUCGCCAAACCGGCUAUUUUUCCGUCCAAAGAAGAGGUUCCAACAGAAGGUCGUGUGCCAUUACUUCUUUUUUCUCUAUUGAGUUCGAGCGUUUUGCUCUCAUCCACACAUGUAUCGAAAGGUCUUCUCUCAGAAUCACAUUCAGCAAGUUUCAAGCUACAGGAAGAACUUUCGCUAUCUACAGAAGCUUCUGCUUCUUCUUGUUCAACAGCUCGAGGAGGAGCGUCUUGUGUGCCACUGCAGC